AACCUUCGGGGGAUUUGUUGGGCGGCGAGCGGCGGACGGGUGAGUAAUGCCUAGGAAAUUGCCCUGAUGUGGGGGAUAACCAUUGGAAACGAUGGCUAAUACCGCAUGAUGCCUACGGGCCAAAGAGGGGGACCUUCGGGCCUCUCGCGUCAGGAUAUGCCUAGGUGGGAUUAGCUAGUUGGUGAGGUAAGGGCUCACCAAGGCGACGAUCCCUAGCUGGUCUGAGAGGAUGAUCAGCCACACUGGAACUGAGACACGGUCCAGACUCCUACGGGAGGCAGCAGUGGGGAAUAUUGCACAAUGGGCGCAAGCCUGAUGCAGCCAUGCCGCGUGUAUGAAGAAGGCCUUCGGGUUGUAAAGUACUUUCAGUAGGGAGGAAGGUUCAUGCGUUAAUAGCGUAUGGAUUUGACGUUACCUACAGAAGAAGCACCGGCUAACUCCGUGCCAGCAGCCGCGGUAAUACGGAGGGUGCGAGCGUUAAUCGGAAUUACUGGGCGUA
rnacentral:rRNA from 1 species